GUUGUGGAACUUGAUAGAAGGCUUAUUUAUAAACUUUCUGAACCCUAAAUUCCUCCUUCAGAGAAAACACUGAGACACAAAGAGUGGGGGUGGGGGUCAGAUGAAAUGCUCGCGUAUGAACACAACAACAACUGGACAAUCCAUAAACUACUGAAAUGAGGAAAUUUACAAGCCACCUGAUCAAGCUUGCUUUGGGAGUGACUGAAGGACAAGCAACACACAAAGUCAUAUCCAAUCACAAAAAAUUCACCACAUUGAAGGAAUAACACACGAAAACAACCAAUUGGGGUGGAAGGCCGCCUCCAAGUGCUCACUUCACAGCAGUGAUCUCUGAUCGCCUGGACAAGUUACGUCAUCCAACCAUGAAGUUGCACAGAUGAACUAUCCAGGGGCCCGCACCUUCAUCCUUCACUCCACUGCUAAUCAUGAAGUUUUCAUCCAAAAAGACGACAAUAAUAAAAGAGCCAGCCAAGGAUAUCCCUCAUAAUGAAUUUACACCACAACGCAAGACAACAUCUUCAAAAAGGGAAUAUGUUUUAAUGCCAUCUGCAGUAGGCACCUGGGAAGUUGAGCUUUGUGAAGCAGAGUGAGGAGGGAAAUCAAGUUUUUUUGGAACAGACAAUGAGCAUUUAAAUAAGAAAUGGAAUCCGAGCACACUUCAAUUCCCAUAUUAUGUAUGAAAGGAACACAAAUAAUAUUGAAAUGAAAACUGAGACCAGAUGGCCUUGAACGUGUGUUCUGUCGGGGCCACGGGUCACCCAGGCGUCAAGAGUAGCAGGCCGUUGAUGGGGAGAAAGGAAACGCAUUUCCAGUCAAACUGU